UGUUUUAUCAAUUUCGGCAGCACAUAUACAAAAUUGGAAUGAUACAGAAAAGAUUAGCAUGGCCCCUGUGCAAGGUGGGUCUAUUUUUUCUUUUUACUUCAUUGUC